UGUAGUCUGCAAAUGUCAUUCCAAAAGUAUAGUCCCGUGACAACAGUUGUGGGGCUGUGGGCUACAUUUGAGCUCAAUUCUGCUUUGUCAUUUCUUACAGGGACUGAUGAAAUGCUCACCCUUAUCAGGCUGAUCACCUGUUUACAGGCAAAAGGCACACAGCCAAAAAAGCCUGGGAGUGAAUGUCUAUGUAGACUAGUGCAUGAUACUAAUAUGUAGGUACUAACUGUUGUUGCUUUCAAUAUAUGCUAUUAAUGUUCAUUGCAACCUCAAGAUGUUUCUACAUGUCAUUCUGGAUUGUGCAGAUAUGAUCUAUAGCCUUGAUAUACUGGUGCCGAUAGCUAUUUUAAUGAUGUCUCCUGAAACUCGGAAAUUUAUGUGUGUUACGUGUGUGUAUAUAAUAUACAGUAUAUCACUCAAUCAUAUACAUAUGAUUGAGUGAUAUACUUUUCAUACAAACAUUUGUAAUGCUUCACACAAUAAAAUAUAUAAAGGCUAUGUGUGCGUUAAAUUAAAAAAAAUAAAAAUGUAUGACAUUCGUAGGCUACAUUAUGCCAUGUUGUGAAUUGAAUUAAAAGUAAAUAUAUAAGUUGUCAUAAACACUGUUAUGCUCAUCUGACAGAUUAAAUAAAUACAAUAAAAUACAGCAGUAGGCUAUAACAAAAUGGACAGAUGAUGCAGCGGUGCCACACGUCAUAUUUAAUUGACAUAAUUGACGUAGCUAUAAAAUGGCAGCUCCGAAGCAAAGAUAUCUCAUUUUGUUAAAUGCCUGUUGCCUCAAUUCUCUCCUUGUGUCGCUUACUCGCCUCCUCCACUCGCAUCUCUGGUCGGAGGGACUAUGACGCGAGGAGAGGUGCAAGGCGAGGAAUCGAGGAGGUCCAAACUGAGACAUGAGAAAGGCCAUCUGUUUCUCUCUGUGUUUGUCUGCCUGUGAGUCCGUUGGCAUGUGCGUGGCUUCUCUUCCGCUCUCUCUCCUGGCUCCAGGCUCUGCUGCAUCUACACACCUGGUCUCUAUCAACUAAUCAUCCUGCCCAGUCUACUCACCUGCCUCUCAUCACGCCAUCAACCUGCAGUAUAUCUACUCCGGCUCUUCAUCCAUGCACAGCCAGAUUGUUUCAGCCUCUGGGGUAGUUACUCUCAGCCAAAAGAUCAUCGCUUGCUUCCUGUUUGCUCCCUGCCAGUCUGCCAGCCACGCUUCCCUUCAUUCUCCACUGCCCACGCCAUAUUCUCCACCAUUACUUCCACACUCCUAGCCAGCUUUGGAUUUCCAACUCUGGCUUUCAUUCCAUCAUCAUUCCCUUGUUCUCAAUAAAAGCCUUUUUCAUUCCCUGUC